CAUAUAUUUGUAAUCAGCAUAGCAUGAGUAGUCUGCUCUAUCCAAAACAAUUUGAAGAACAUUGUUACAAAGAAAAGCAUUGUGCAUGAUAAGGACAACAGACUUUAUGCAUAAUGACGUAUCAAGCUGAGACGCCUGCAGGGAAUUCUGGUUUUUGUAGUCGCUGCAAAAAAUUAAAACCUCAAAAUUCCCUGCCAUGACUACUAAGACCAGAAUUCCCUGCAGGUGUCACUAGCUUGUUACGUCAUUAUGCAUAAGGUCUAUUAGGAGCUUUUGCUUUUUUUAGCUACAGGGAAGGGUAUUACCAGCAGGCCCGGAGCUAGCGGGGUUGGGGGUGUCACACACACACACCCCCAGAAAAUUUAUUCUGAGUUUCAGUUGGUAAAAUUGCUAUUUUAGUCGGCAGACAAAAAUAUUUUUGACAACUAUAAAGAAUAUUGGCGAUUACUUGAAGUCGGUAAAUAUCACUAUGUCAUCCUGUUUCUACUCUGCAUAAUUACUAUAGACUGAUCCAAUAGAAACUUGACAAAGUUUCAUCCAGAGUGUAAUCGGUACAAGUCCGUCGAUCAGUCGCCAGUCGGUUUCGAUGACUAAUCUGGUCUUUAAAAAGGGAAAUGUCUUCGGACAACAUAUAAAGUUCUGGGAAGGUGAUUAUAAGAAAGGACAAAUUGCUGAUUGCUAAUUAUGUACAUUGCACGGGUGUAAAAAUGUUUUGUCUGUUGGAAGAGAAUUAAAGAACACAAAAGAUCAUUGAGGUACCUAAAUACCAUUUCCGGGCAUCAAUCUUAUUUGUCACAAAUUCGCCUAUAUAUGCCUGAGUUUGCCUCAAAUUGCCUGCCUCGUACACCAAAUCACACGUACAGACAAGGAGCGACAUCAUAUAACGGACUGAAUAUAGCUCUAAAGGUCUGUAAUGUUUGACAUAGUUGUGUCAAUAAUCGCAAGUCAAUUUCUUGGUGCGUUUUGGUAUUCGCCACUUUUGGUUGGAAAGCAAUGGUCAUGUCUUGUUUUUCCUGGCUGUAGCAUAGACGAAAUAAAGAAUCUAUUAAGUGUUAAAAUAAACUAUGGAAUAGGGCUUAUUUCUAGCGUCUUCCUGGCGUUGCUGCUCCAGUUCUAUUUCCUACCGUCAGUGACGAGUGUUCCUGAGGCAAUCAAUAUUGCUAUUUUGCUUGGUGUAUUUUCUGCCAUUCUCGAAGUCUGCCAUUAUGGGUUUGAAGGACGAUCGUGGAAAUUAUUCAUCAUUGAUCACACUCAUAAUUUUCUUAAUAUUCUGGUUAUUAGCUGUGUGCCGAUUGCAAUUUAACCAGUCCAGCUUUGCUGAUGACAUUGUAAUAGCUAGGGUACAGUUGAAGAACAACCUGGUUUUAACCUAGUUAUAUUUCUUACAAUAUAUUUAAGAACAAUGUUUGAGGGUCAUAUAAAUGUAUAUAUUGCACGUUAAUUAAACAAUAAACCUUUAACACAAAACGCGCAAAGCAUAAUGGGGGCAUAAGUUUCAAGCUUAAUAUAAGAGAAUAUUGCCGCUAUUUACUCGUGAAUGAAAUAUUUUCUUUAGGGAUGUUGAUUUCACAAUAUCCCUGGGACAUGACUCGAUAUGAACUGAUCGACUUUUCUCCUAAUGUUCUUGGUACAUUUAAAGUCUGAAGUUUUGAUUUAAUUAAGGUUUAGAAUUUUAUGUUAAUAAAAGAAACCUUUUCUAUAUAUGCAUGGAGUCACAAUAACAGCGACGGUUUUCCUGUUCGGCAUAGUCAAUAUAGCAUUUUCAAUGAUAUUCUUUGAGCACUUUGUUCAGCCCUUAUAAUUGUAGCUUGGCUGAAUUCUCUUGCUUAAACUGACGCCUUUUUCUUUGAUAACAUAACUUAACAUAGAUAUGUAUCUAAUCACGACAGCAGAAGUGGGAAAGAAUUGCUUACGAAUUCGCACAAAUGAGAAACAGGCUAUUGUCGAUCUAAAGCACGGCGAGGAUGUCAAACCUAUUGAAUUAUUGAGUCGAGUCCAUAGAUAAUUUGAAGUGGCAGACUUAUAGGCACCAGCAAACCGGGCUGCCACCCAACAUAAAGAAAAGCGUGUGGGACCUAAAACAAAAUGACCGACACUUUCACAGCUGUGUGAAUUUUAUACGAUAUAUGCUAAGUGUACGUAAUAGACACCAGAAAUUACGCACUAUACAGCGAACCUUGCUAAUGGCUAUAACAUGUUACCUUUAUAGAUGGUGACUGGUUUCCAAAUAUACACAUUCAACUCAAAUAUAUCAUCAAAAACAGUUACAAUUAUCUGUAGUUGCAAGGUCAAUACUGCUAUUAUAUUUAAAUGUUUUAACCCAUUGUCUAUAUAAUGACCUUACAUGGCGCUUGAAAGUUCUGGAGAUUGAAAAUCAUUCAACUUACUUUUAGUCCUAAUUUCCGAUGUUGAAGUGGUUUCGUACAAAGAAACGCGUCAUGCUGACGUCAUUUGAGAAAAAAUUAGCGGUUCAUGGGCGUAUUUCGCGCCAUUAAGAGAAGAAGUAUAUUACCGCUGUUGGGCAGAGUACUUGAGUGUUUGUUUAUAGCCUCUUGAAAACA